rnacentral:tRNA from 1 species
GGCUUGCGGGCUGAGCUGGGGAAACUGUCCGCCGUCGUUCUGAAAAGCGGAAGGUCGCAGGUUCGAUCCCGGCCCUGGCCA